CCUCCUCCAACCACUCCGCUUUUCCCCUCCUUUAAUCCCCACCGAGGCUGCGCCCUAGAAACCCUAGAGCCAUCCUCUCCUCCUCCUGUGGCCGCCGCCACGCUCUCCUUUCUCCCCAUCAAUUUUCUUCUCUUCUCUGUGAGCUCACGAAGGAGCACUGCCACCACCUCCCCGCCAUGGCGCCGCCGCUACCGGCCGCCCCUCGAUGAACCGAAGCCACCAGAAGAUCCGCCUCGUCGUCCUCUCCAUCUCCGUUCAAGGAAUCGAGCCGGGGCUCGCUCAAUCAACGGCAAAUUCGCCGAUUCCUCCUCCGUCUCCGGCGAGAUAAUCCUCAAUUCCGGCCGCCCUCGUCCUCCUUCGACCAAACCGAGCCUGCCUUCGUCUUCCUGGACCUCGUCGCCGGCGAACUUCCGGCGGGUUUCCGACACCAUGACCGCCCCCAUCGGGUCCAGCAAGUGGAGGUGCACCCCCGACACCAACUCGCGCAUCCUGGUUCGCCCAGAAUCUCUAGAUUCGUGCUCAUCUGCAAACUUCGCCAUGGAUGACCUCUCUGAGCUUCGUGUCCUCUGUUCAAAAGAUCCGCAGAUGGGCCUGGCCCCAGAUCCGCCUGGCACAGCCCAACUGCCGGCUCGACCCAACACCCAGCUCGAGCCAAUUUCCCCCUGUCGGCCAGCAUUUGCUUCUUCCCAGAUAGGAUCGCGAAGUGGUGUGUGAGAUACGAUG